rnacentral:tRNA from 1 species
GGUGCAGCUCAGUGGUAGAGCACUUGGCUGGCAAGCAUGAGGCCUGGGUUCCAUCCUGAGCACCA